rnacentral:rRNA from 1 species
CACGUAGGGUGCGAGCGUUGUCCGGAAUUAUUGGGCGUAAAGAGCUCGUAGGCGGUGUGUCGCGUCGGCCGUGAAACCUGACAGCUUAACUGUGGGCUUGCGGUCGAUACGGGCAUCACUGGAGUUCGGCAGGGGAGACUGGAAUUCCUGGUGUAGCGGUGAAAUGCGCAGAUAUCAGGAGGAACACCGGUGGCGAAGGCGGGUCUCUGGGCCGAUACUGACGCUGAGGAGCGAAAGCGUGGGGAGCGAACAGG